UCGCCCCUCGUCCCUCCCCCGGGCAGAGGGGACGGGGGGCGGGUGGUUUCGGGGAUGGCCCGAGUCCGCCGAGCUCCCCGGGGGCGGCCGGCGGGGCCCUCACCUCGGGGUGCCCGGUGGGGAACGGUCCUGGCGCUUUGGUACCACCAAAAAAAGAUGCUCUCUAUGAAUAGAGAGAGUGCCUAUUUACUCUGAAAUAUUUGGCACAGCGGACAGAGUCUGAAGCGUGGAAGAAGUGGCUAUUAUUUUCCCACUGCCUGUGUGCAGCUGUCAUUUCUGAGCAACACGUUCCUCGCACAUCCCUGCCUCCCAACCUUGCUGUUGGUCCAUCCCAGGAUUACAACAAGAAGAGACUGGCAUGCCACCGCACUCAGCCAAAACCUCAACGUUGUGAAAUGGCUUACAAAGAGUGACGGCAGAGUACAUGACUUGGGAAGCACGCUUUGUAUUUCUUUUUUGCCAUGAAGCUGCCACAGGGGGGAGUAGAAGUUUGGAAAGGACUGUGCUGCCCCAGAAGCCACCGAUGCAAGCGUUGUAUUCCAGGGACGGUUGUUACAAGUUCAGGGAGUUAACUGGAGACAACAAUGCAAACAGAAAAAGAUGAAAUUAAAUAAAUUCAGAGCAACUUCAAAAUUUUUCAAAUUUUUUCAGUUCCAGUGAUACAUGAGUUACAGAAGGAAUUUAAGUCAGAAACAAACUGAAGGUUGUACCACAGUUUGUUGCACUCACCUGGACUCCUGCAGUAAUAAAAACCUGGAGAACGCUGAUCUAAGCCAGUGUCACUGUGUCACAUAAAUCACUUUUAAAGAUACCUACGCCUCUGUCCCACUCUUCCUAAAACACUUCCAGCUUGGUUUGUCAAAGUUUUUUUCCUAGAACAUUUGCUGAGGAAACUGGCAGUGAAGUGUGAGCAUAUAAAAGAAAAGAAUAAAAAGGCAGGCACCUAACAAUGUAAAAGCCUGGACCCUGGUUAGAAUGCUUUUGCAAAGUACAGUGUCAAGAUUUUCAUUCUGGACAUGGUGUCUAUUUUGUAACAUUUGAAGAGUCAAUACGUGUACAAAGACAGAACCAAGAGCAAAACCAGCAUUAUGUGGUUUGUAAUUCCAGAACCCUUUCUAUGACUUUUCCAUUUUCAUCACUUUAUUCUUUUCAGGGAAAAAAAAAAAAAGAUUCUGAAGUUUGAGGGAAAUUACAGCAAUCCUUUUUGAGGGGUAAGAUACCCAACACUUUGGCUAGAUGUGUUAGCCCUUCUAUUUCUACUCUUCAUCAGGAUUUAGAAUGAAUGGAUAGCAGAGCUACUGUAGUGUAAUUGAAUCUUUCUUUUAGUUGAGAAGGUAUAGAUGUGUUUCUGGUGCUAGAGGUCACAGGCUUGUUCCUGCAGGGGCUCCAUUUUACAUUAUGUUCAGAGCUGAUUUGUAAUGUACUUUGGACAUUUGAAAAAGGCUAUUUUAUUAUAAUACCAGCAAGAAAACCACACUUGCUGUGUUUCAAGCCAAAUUAGUUGAUGAAUGGAUGAGAUGUUGAAUUUUUGUUUCUUGAAGGCCAUCUGUUCAUUUUAGAAGCUUUCUCCUUUUCCUGUCCAUUAUUUUCCUAUUCCUACAGCAGUCUGAGUCUCAGUUCCUUUUCAUCACCUUUUACCAUUUUGCUUAGUUCUUAAGUGAAUUGCCCUCUCUCAAGCACAGAGGUAAAGCCAUUGCUUCUCUCUGCCUUCAGUGCGGGUUCCCAUGAACCUCCUUUUCUGUCUUCAGAGUAAUGCUCCCCUCUUUGACAGGUGACUCCCUGAUCUGCUUCUGAGUAUGAGCUGGUAGUUAAGACUACCUUUGCUAGCCUAGGGGAGAAGUUUUUAUGGAACAGCGUAUAAGUGAAUGUGGGAGGCUUUUUGGUAGGCCAUCGAGAGGUCUUAUAGAUUUGUUCAGCCUGUACAGUAGCUUGGAUGAUGUUAAAACAUCUCUUCUUUCCAAGCUGGAAAGGUCACUGUGUUUCUUUAGAAUAUUUUUGGAGAUGUUUCUGUGGUUUGUCAGAUCUAAAAAUAAACUAUGAUCAACACACUUAAAAAAUAUGACAGGAUUUUUUUUUCAAGAGUGUAAGAGGCAGUCAGAUUUUUGUUUUCCUCUUAGGGAACCAGUCAGAACUACAGACAAGCUACAAAAAUCCUCUUCAGAUCUCUGGGAUUUUUUUUUUUUGGUGUGUGUUUAAAUUUGAGGACAUCUUCCUGCCUAUCUAUUCAUCUGUCUUACACAGUUUAUACAGCCUAUCAUUUUCUCCACUGAGAGUAAAGGUCACCAGGAACAUUUGCAGUCUAGGGCAAUUGGGAAGCUUUAAUUGAAGUCUGUUUUCAUUAGAAAGAGGCAUCCUGAUGAAAUAGACCCUGUGUAUUGCUUGCAUUAAUUUUCAGCAAAAUGAAGCUUAGAAAAAGCUUGGAGGUUUUUUUUUUCUUUUUUUUUUUUUAAACAUGUCAGUGUUCUGGUUUGAUUUUGGAAGAGGAAGACAUUGGAGGAGUUUAUUUUGAAAUUCAGUUUGUGUCAAUGACUUACUGGUCUCGAUUGACCUUAAGAACACUUUUAAAUUUUUCACUUUGAGGGACUUUCUUAAUGUCUGUCAGUGUAAGUGGGGCUGAAGAGACAUUUGGAAACGCAGUAUUUUUCAAGAAACAGAACAUCCAUUUUAUAGCCUACAUCAGGGAAUACUUAAAAAAUAUUCUAUGAUUUCUUUAGAGUCAUUAAAGCCUACUGUGUAAAAGCAAAUUUGGAAACACAGUUUUUACUGUUUUCUAUCACUGUAGUUGUUCCUAAACCAAACCCCGUUGCUGUGAAUGUCUGCAGUGCAGAGCCUUGGAUUGGGUAGUUCAAAGGCUCAGCGUUGGAUAAUAGGCCGGUGAGUAGGGAUCUAUCACUGAUGACUUCUUUGUAGACCUUCAGCCAUCAUUCUGUGUCUUCUGUGCUUUUGAGUCCUGUGCUUGAGUACGCGUUGUAGUUGGGAGUGUUGGCUAAAGCUUCGCUACUUGUAAAGAAACAGUACUUGUGUGUCAGACUUUUCAUUGCUGGGGCAGUUCCUCAGGCACAGAGCAGGAGGGGCUGAGUUUAGUGAGAGCUCCUUUGGAGACCUGAGGGUACUAAACCGUUCUCUGAUGGCACUCACACACAGGGGCCUUACCUCUCCUCACAGCUACUUCAUGACCAUUUUGCAUUUAUCAUGUUUCACCUAAGUGCCCCUACAGAACGGAUCUAACGCUAAACAGCUCUCCAUGGUAGUCGUAGUUUUCUGCCAUAACCGCUCAAGCAUCUCUCAAAAGGGUGACGUGCCAGGGAUGUUUUCAGAGGGCUCAAGUGUGGUGGGCUGCGUUGCUGGUGCCUGCUGGUCUGAGAGCUGGUGCGGGUUACUCCUUCGAGGGUUUUCCCGCCUUUUGUAAUGAAGGGCAGUAACAUUCAGCACUCGUCAGUGUUACCAGCAGUUGCUCUGUCAGACGCGCUGCUUUGCAGAUUGGCAUGGGGAAGAGCUGAUGUGGGAACCUUAUCUACCUGAUCUACCACCUCCCAAAUGCACGGGUUAGAAAAGUCAUCCUUGCACUUAAAAAACAGAAGAGGAAGCGGCAUGACCUCUCUUUCUGUGCACCGAUGUAAAUCCCAUCCUAUUUUAAACCCCAUCUUCGUCAGUGAGUCUUAUCUAACACUGGCAGAAAAACAGAGGAUGUUGCUUCUCAUCAGGACAGAGCCUACAUUUAGCUUUCUUUCAAGUGGCGCAAUAAAAUAUGGGAAUAGGCUUCAGCUUCCCAUGUUUUAAUUCUUCUUUUUUAAUCCCUGUUUUCAUUUUUGAAAUUAUUUGGAUCUGAGAAGACAUUUUUUUCUCCUUCCACUUCUGAUUUGUUUGUUGGAGCACUGCCUGCUCACCCUAUUUGGAUGUCAAGAGGCUCUCUAUUUUUCCAUUUCUGGAAUAGUCAUUCACGACUCAGUGUUUCUUGUGCAAACCCUCAGAAUUUACAGUGUAUUUAUUGGUCUCUCCCCAACUGCAGUUUCUCUUUUGUAAUACUUUGUUUCAAAGUUUCUCUCAGAUACAGAUUUCUGUUGUAAGCCUAGGAGUUCAAGUGACAGUCUUCCUGAAGGAUCUAGCUAAUCAGCUAAUUCAAAUGUAAGGGAUUUUUAUAAUCUGUUGAACUAGUAAAUUUAAGACAUAAUUGAGGGGGGUAAUGCAUUUUUAAUAGUAAACUAGUGAGCAUCCAGUUGUGCAGAGUGUUGCAGGAAUGCACAGUAAAACACAGCCUCUGUGUUGAAGAGACCACACUGGCGGCCUGGUUUUGCCAGUUGUGCUGCACAGAUUAAGAACAUGUUUCUAUGAAAGAGCUUGUAAAAUCUGGUAAAAUAGGAGCGAACCACUAACCAGGGAUGGAUAUUUCAUGAGAGUGCAGGUGAGGUGGUUUGACUUUAGAGGUGUUGCAGUUGAGAGGUGAGUGGAGGGUAAGUGCAGGACCGUAGCAGCAAAAGAGCGUGGAGACUGGGAACGGGCUGAGUGUUACGAAGAAGGAAGACUGAGGAAGAGGAGGUGUGUGGCAUAAACUGGAGCAGAAAUGAACGAGAAAGGAAAAUGCUGAAGAGAAGAUCAACAAACUGCAAAGCAGAAAAACAUAUGGAGGGAUAACUGAAAGAGUAGCCCAUGGCGGGUUUUGUGCCAGGGCCCAUUGCUGUUCUGCCCGACGCCUGAUUACCUUGGUACUGGGAAACAUUAAUGGACUUCACAAUUGACUCUUUUCAUUUUUACAGCUAUGGAAGUUGAAGUGUGGAAGGAAGCUGUAUAAGCACAUAGAAAGCUGGGAUGUGCUACAUGUACGUGAGAGAGGCCUGGGCCACUGAACAGUGCAGGGGUGCAGGAGCAGUAGAUGGAAACCCGUAUUCUUGGUCCAUAAAAUGAAAUAAGUAUCUGCCAAAUCAGACUUGCCCUAUGACUGCAUUUCUCAUUGUACUUCCUCUCUGUCCUCCAUUAAAAUGUACAGCUUUGGGGCAGGUACUUUGGGGGCUGGGUCAAAAAGGAGAACCGCAUCUAUCCAUUGGUUUGAGUGCUAUCCUUUAAGCCUAAUAAACUGGUUCAUUAAAUUAGUAUUAUAAUCGUGCUUUAGGCAUAGCUUAGGCUUAGCUUUAAGCCUAGGCAUGAAAUGAUUCUUUGCUGAAAAUCAAGAAUGUUUGGGAAUCUUUCUUUUCCUGCUGUGGUCCUCGCUGGGUUUUGUCCAGGAUGUCCUUGGAAACGCAAGCUCCAGAUAUAUCAUGAGACGGUCUGUGUUAUGUGGCAGCUGCAUGUUUCUGAAGAAAAUGCUGGAGAUGGCUGAAUGUGCAUGCGGACUUCUGGAUGCUCAUCAGCACUGAUUUCAAACUUCCUUUUCAGUCGCUGGUCACUGAUUAGCACUGUAAAGCAUCACAAACAAGAUAGAUAGCUUUAACCACUAAAAAUGCUCCCUCUUCCGCUCUCACGGUCUCUUUAGACUAGAAUUUCGUAAACAGCCAGAUGCAGUUUUGCUUCCAGAGAUCUCACAAUCCAGAUUUUGGUCCUAACUAGCUAUUUCAGGCCAAUUUAGACUCUACUGAAAGAUGGAUUUAUAAGGAAAAUGUUGACAGAUCCUGGCCUCUUGUAUCACUGGUGGGAGCCACGGUAAUAAUAAUGAUUUCCUGUAAUAGUCUUCCAUCAAAUGUUCAAAGCGGUAGUUUUUUUCUUUGGUGCAAACAUCAAAAAUGUGGGCAGUUUUGUUUUCCUAAACUUGGACAACAUCUGUGUUUCCACCAUUCUGUGGGAAUGCAGUACACCCUUUUCCAAUUUUAUUAAAAACCACCUUUUUGGCUGAAGCGUGUGCCAUUGCAAGCACUUUCAUUAUGUCUCAUAUAUCUU